rnacentral:rRNA from 1 species
GAUGAACGCUGGCGGCGUGCCUAAUACAUGCAAGUCGAGCGAACGGACGAGAAGCUUGCUUCUCUGAUGUUAGCGGCGGACGGGUGAGUAACACGUGGAUAACCUACCUAUAAGACUGGGAUAACUUCGGGAAACCGGAGCUAAUACCGGAUAAUAUUUUGAACCGCAUGGUUCAAAAGUGAAAGACGGUCUUGCUGUCACUUAUAGAUGGAUCCGCGCUGCAUUAGCUAGUUGGUAAGGUAACGGCUUACCAAGGCAACGAUGCAUAGCCGACCUGAGAGGGUGAUCGGCCACACUGGAACUGAGACACGGUCCAGACUCCUACGGGAGGCAGCAGUAGGGAAUCUUCCGCAAUGGGCGAAAGCCUGACGGAGCAACGCCGCGUGAGUGAUGAAGGUCUUCGGAUCGUAAAACUCUGUUAUUAGGGAAGAACAUAUGUGUAAGUAACUGUGCACAUCUUGACGGUACCUAAUCAGAAAGCCACGGCUAACUACGUGCCAGCAGCCGCGGUAAUACGUAGGUGGCAAGCGUUAUCCGGAAUUAUUGGGCGUAAAGCGCGCGUAGGCGGUUUUUUAAGUCUGAUGUGAAAGCCCACGGCUCAACCGUGGAGGGUCAUUGGAAACUGGAAAACUUGGGUGCAGAAGAGGAAAGUGGAAUUCCAUGUGUAGCGGUGAAAUGCGCAGAGAUAUGGAGGAACACCAGUGGCGAAGGCGACUUUCUGGUCUGUAACUGACGCUGAUGUGCGAAAGCGUGGGGAUCAAACAGGAUUAGAUACCCUGGUAGUCCACGCCGUAAACGAUGAGUGCUAAGUGUUAGGGGGUUUCCGCCCCUUAGUGCUGCAGCUAACGCAUUAAGCACUCCGCCUGGGGAGUACGACCGCAAGGUUGAAACUCAAAGGAAUUGACGGGGACCCGCACAAGCGGUGGAGCAUGUGGUUUAAUUCGAAGCAACGCGAAGAACCUUACCAAAUCUUGACAUCCUUUGACAACUCUAGAGAUAGAGCUUUCCCCUUCGGGGGACAAAGUGACAGGUGGUGCAUGGUUGUCGUCAGCUCGUGUCGUGAGAUGUUGGGUUAAGUCCCGCAACGAGCGCAACCCUUAAGCUUAGUUGCCAUCAUUAAGUUGGGCACUCUAAGUUGACUGCCGGUGACAAACCGGAGGAAGGUGGGGAUGACGUCAAAUCAUCAUGCCCCUUAUGAUUUGGGCUACACACGUGCUACAAUGGACAAUACAAAGGGCAGCGAAACCGCGAGGUCAAGCAAAUCCCAUAAAGUUGUUCUCAGUUCGGAUUGUAGUCUGCAACUCGACCACAUGAAGCUGGAAUCGCUAGUAAUCGUAGAUCAGCAUGCUACGGUGAAUACGUUCCCGGGUCU